GGUAAGAUGGCUGAGUGAAGCAUUAGACUGUAAAUCUAAAGACAGAGGUUUAUACUCCUCUUUUUACCA
rnacentral:tRNA from 1 species